rnacentral:rRNA from 1 species
GACGAACGCUGGCGGCGUGCCUAAUACAUGCAAGUCGAGCGGACUUUCAAGAAGCUUUCUUUUUGAAAGUUAGCGGCGGACGGGUGAGUAACACGUGGGCAACCUGCCUGCAAGACGGGGAUAACUCCGGGAAACCGGGGCUAAUACCGGAUAAUAUCUUCCUUCGCAUGAAGGAAGGUUGAAAGGCGGCGCAAGCUGCCGCUUGCAGAUGGGCCCGCGGCGCAUUAGCUAGUUGGUGAGGUAACGGCUCACCAAGGCGACGAUGCGUAGCCGACCUGAGAGGGGGAUCGGCCACACUGGGAAUGGGACACGGCCCAGACUCCUACGGGAAGGAGCAGUAGGGAAUCUUCCGCAAAGGACGAAAGUCUGAAGGAGCAACGCCGCGUGAGCGAAGAAGGUCUUCGGGUCGGAAAGCACUGUUGUCAGGGAAGAAAAAGUACCGUUCGAACAGGGCGGUACCUUGACGGUACCUGACCAGAAAGCCACGGCUAACUACGUG